rnacentral:rRNA from 1 species
GACGUAGGGCGCGAGCGUUGUCCGGAUUUAUUGGGCGUAAAGAGCUCGUAGGCGGCUUGUCGCGUCGUCCGUGAAAACUUGGGGCUCAACCCCAAGCUUGCGGUCGAUACGGGCAGGCUAGAGUUCGGUAGGGGAGACUGGAAUUCCUGGUGUAGCGGUGAAAUGCGCAGAUAUCAGGAGGAACACCAGUGGCGAAGGCGAGUCCCUGGACAAUUCCUGACACUGAGGCACGAAAGCUAGGGGAGCAAACAGG